GGAAAGAUGGUGAUAGUCGUAAAGCAUCUGCUUGACAUGCAGAAGGUGCCAGGUUCAAUCCCUGGUCUUUUCA
rnacentral:tRNA from 1 species